rnacentral:rRNA from 1 species
GCGUUGUUCGGAAUUACUGGGCGUAAAGCGUCACGUAGGCGGAUCAGAAAGUUAGGGGUGAAAUCCCGGGGCUCAACCUCGGAACUGCCUCUAAAACUCCUGGUCUUGAGGUCGAGAGAGGUGAGUGGAAUUCCGAGUGUAGAGGUGAAAUUCGUAGAUAUUCGGAGGAACACCAGUGGCGAAGGCGGCUCACUGGCUCGAUACUGACGCUGAGGUGCGAAAGCGUGGGGAGC